ACGAACGCUGGCGGCGUGCUUCACACCUGCAAGUCGCACGGAAAGGCCCUGCUUUUGUGGGGUGCUCGAGUGGCGAACGGGUGAGUAACACGUGAGUAACCUGCCCUUGACUUUGGGAUAACUUCAGGAAACUGGGGCUAAUACCGGAUAGGAGCUCCUGCUGCAUGGUGGGGGUUGGAAAGUUUCGGCGGUUGGGGAUGGACUCGCGGCUUAUCAGCUUGUUGGUGGGGUAGUGGCUUACCAAGGCUUUGACGGGUAGCCGGCCUGAGAGGGUGACCGGCCACAUUGGGACUGAGAUACGGACCAGACUCCUACGGGAGGCAGCAGUGGGGAAUAUUGCACAAUGGGCGGAAGCCUGAUGCAGCAACGCCGCGUGCGGGAUGACGGCCUUCGGGUUGUAAACCGCUUUCGCCUGUGACGAAGCGUGAGUGACGGUAAUGGGUAAAGAAGCACCGGCUAACUACGUG
rnacentral:rRNA from 1 species